rnacentral:rRNA from 1 species
CACAUGCAAGUCGAACGGAGCUUAGAGAGCUUGCUUUUUAAGCUUAGUGGCGAACGGGUGAGUAACGCGUGAGUAACCUGCCCUAGAGUGGGGGACAACAGUUGGAAACGACUGCUAAUACCGCAUAAGCCCACGGUACCGCAUGGUACUGAGGGAAAAGGAUUUAUUCGCUUUAGGAUGGACUCGCGUCCAAUUAGCUAGUUGGUGAGGUAACGGCCCACCAAGGCGACGAUUGGUAGCCGGACUGAGAGGUUGAACGGCCACAUUGGGACUGAGACACGGCCCAGACUCCUACGGGAGGCAGCAGUGGGGGAUAUUGCACAAUGGGGGGAACCCUGAUGCAGCGACGCCGCGUGGAGGAAGAAGGUUUUCGGAUUGUAAACUCCUGUCGUUAGGGACGAUAAUGACGGUACCUAACAAGAAAGCACCGGCUAGCUACGUGCCAGCAGCCGCGGUAAGACGUAGGGUGCAAGCGUUGUCCGGAAUUACUGGGUGUAAAGGGAGCGCAGGCGGGAAGACAAGUUGGAAGUGAAAACCAUGGGCUCAACCCAUGAAUUGCUUUCAAAACUGUUUUUCUUGAGUAGUGCAGAGGUAGAUGGAAUUCCCGGUGUAGCGGUGGAAUGCGUAGAUAUCGGGAGGAACACCAGUGGCGAAGGCGGUCUACUGGGCACCAACUGACGCUGAGGCUCGAAAGCAUGGGUAGCAAACAGGAUUAGAUACCCUGGUAGUCCAUGCCGUAAACGAUGAUUACUAGGUGUUGGGGGAUUGACCCCCUCAGUGCCGCAGUUAA